rnacentral:tRNA from 1 species
GCCUGGGUGGCUCAGUCGGUUGAGCGUCCGACUUCAGCUCGGGUCAUGAUCUCACAGUCUGUGAGUUCGAGCCCCACAAUGGGCU